CUAAGGCUCCAAUUCUUCUUUGUCUACCCAACCCUUGGCUCUUUGACCAUGGAACAGCCAAUAUGGAGAACCUCCUGGGUUCCCCUCUGCUAACCCUGGUGAACCGAUGUGAACUCGGCACAAGCACCCUGAGCAAGACGCAGCCCCAUCCAAGACCUUUUACCACCCAACUAUGUUACAUCAUCAAGCGUGACUGAUGCUAUUAACAUCCCCCCCUCAGGCACAAAAGCCGGCUGGGUGACUUUAGGCCAAUCGC